AAGAGCUUUUUGAUAUUGCAGGGAAAAUGACCAUUAAUUGUAUUACAACAAGAAUAUAUCUUAGCCUUUUGGUACUUGAAUGGAAAAUGACCAUUACUUAUUUGCAACAAUAAUAUAUUUAGUAAAAAGUCAAAUAAGGGUUAAAUGUGUAUAUGUUUAGUCAAAGAAUGAAGCGUAGAAUCUACGCAAAUCAUUAAUCGUAUUACAAUAACAAUACAUCUAGUCAAAGUCAAAAAAAAAGUAAAUGUUUUUUAUCUAAUAAAAAAUAAGAGCGUAAAAUAUACGCAAGAUUGGACUAUAUAUAUAUUUCAUCAUAGGUAAAAGUGUAUAAUAUACACAGAAAGAGCACUAUGUGUGCAGUAAGAAACUCUAUACACAUAGUAGCCUUAAAAAAAAAAGAAACAAAAUUCCCCCAUUCUUUCUCGAAAUUGAUUUUCUAGGCUUCAUUGUUAGUACAAUAAAAAAUCCUAAUAGUAUCAAUUCGUCCUUUCUGCCUUCCUGCACUCUACUCCAUUUCUCCAUGAUUAUAGGUAUUUGAAGUUUUAGUGCAAGCAUGGAAACUUACGAGCAAAAAGGCAUAGAAAGGUUGAAAAGAACGUGAAAGUUGAAGCCUGAGCGUCACCAAGUGCAUUUGGCGAGUCGCCAAAAGAAUGUAUUUUGUUCUUUGUUGCAGCAUGCGAAGUUCUGAAGAAAGUGGAUCAAAAAGGUGAUGAAAGGAGCAGUCGGCGCUUCGCUGAAUAGUUUCGCAAAGCAAGGCUAUACCGGCCAAUGGUCCAGAACAUGAAGAUGUUGAAGGCAAACACAAAAAGGCGACGAACCAGAAGAAGGGUGAAUCGACGAGUUAUUCGGCGAUCCGACUAAUCUCACCGAGUGGUCCGCCGCAACACUUAAUCUAGAAGCUACAAAUACUAGUUGUAGGUUUUAUUUUUAGAGAUUUGAACAUUUUCAUAGUUUUGAGACAUUAGAAUAUUUUUACUGGUAUUUUUCUCUCAAGUUUGGAGAGGAUUUUAGGAGACUUGAAGAAAGACGUUUUUCAUCUUCCCAAAGUUGGAAGUGAGUCUUCUCCAUU